UUUGGACUUAAACCCGAUGAAUCGUUUAUCUUAAUUGAGUUAAUUUUUAAUCAUAUUAUAUUAAGUUUAAAAAUUUAUAGUAUGUCAUUAGCUCUAAUAAUAUGACAUAUAUUCAGUCAUACCGCUUAGUAGUAGUCAAUAAAUAUAUUUCAAGUACCAGGUUUUCGUAUCAACGAAUUGGAUAGCUUAGUUGGAAAAUUCGUGAACAUUUGAUUUUCUAGUGUUUUUAUCUUAAUUGACUGGUUUGAUUAUAAAUUUAUUUAUUUCAGCCUAUUGAAACUAUAGGAUACCAAAAAAUUAAAAAAUAGUAUUAAUCAGAAGUAUCCAUGUCCACAAUCAAUUAAAAAGAUUAGUUAGAACUUUAUUCUAAAAGAAAAAUAUAUUUUUUUUAUUCUUUCUGUGAGUUACCAAUUAAUGGUGUUAGAUAAAUUAGAUCAUGAUUUUUAAGUGUAGUAAAAGAUUAAAGCCUCAACUUUGUAGUAAUUAUUCUAUGUUGAGACGGUAAUCUUUGUAUCUUAAAAAUCAUGAUUCAAUUUAUCCAACAUUAUUAAUUGAUAGCUUAGAGAAAAUAUAAAAAAAUAUAUUUUCUCUUUAGAACAAAAUUCCAACCAACCUUUUUAGAUGAUUGAGGACAUGGACACAUUUAAGUAACAAUAUUUUUUAAAUUUCAGAUAUUCCAAAACUUCAACAAGCUCAAAUAAACCAAUUCAUUAGUCAAACCAAUCAAUUCAGAUAAAAACACUAACUAUCAUGGAAGCAGCCUAACAAUUAGGAAUUAUUAGAAAAGUUUAGUUUGCAAGAUAGAAAGAAACCUAGAUCCUUCAGAAACUAACAUUUCCCUUAUAGUUCGUUCGUCAUGCUUGAGAUGAAACAUGUGCUCCAUUGACACCACCCAUUGAACUAGCAAUAAAAUGAUAACAAAUUAGAUUCAAAUAAAAUAUAAAGUUUAUUAAGGACCAAUAACUAAACGAUCAAGAAAUCAGUAAUUUUAUUAGUUUUUCAAAUUAAAAAGAAAAACGUCACUUACCAUAUUGCAGUUCGACAGAUAGCGGAAAAAGGUCGUUUUUUUCACAAUUUUUGGCUCCAUUUAUAAAAAAAAACGAGAAGUGGAACUGCAAGAAAUGGAUUCAUCCCUUUGCAGUUCGACACCUCCUAUUGGUUUUAUGUGGUGCCAAAAAUUGUAGGAAGACAACCUUUCUCCCCUGUCUCUUAAAUAUCUUGUACAAACACACCAAAAUAGCUUAUCUGAGCACUGAUGUUAGCCAAUACUCUUUCUAUCACUAACCUUUAAAUCAAAUUAAGAAUAUAUAGAUGUUGAUUUAAUCAUACUGAGUUACAAUUGAAUAAAUGUUUAUGAUCAUUGUGUAAAGGAAUAUAUAUAUAUAUAUAUAUAUAUAUAUAUAUAUAUAUAUAUAUAUAUAAGUAUAUAUAUAUAUAUAUAUAUAUGUAAGUAUAUAUAUAUAUAUCAUUUAAUUAGCAGUUUUUCUUCAAAAUGGUUGUAUUAAAUGUUCUUAUUGUAUGACUACAGAUAAAAUUACGGGAUGUUAAACAACAAAAGUUUCUUAGAGUGUUAUCGAGUAAAAUCUAUGUGUCCGCAUCCAACUAAUGUAGGUGAUGUUUCGUUUUACCUGCAUCACUGCGUUUAUACUUGAACUAAGGAUUUUUUUUUAUAACUACACAAUAAUUUGUUAGCCGCUAAUAUUCAUAUUUUAUAAACUUUCAUAUAGGUUCUAAAAAUUGAAUAUUUCGUAUAUGGGACUUGAGAUGUAAAUUCACAUCCAAAAGAUUUCUUAGUAGUGGACUUGUUUCUCAAGUCCCAAAUAUGAAAUAAUCGAUCUCUAGAACCACAAACAAUAAUAUCUGAAAGUUUAUAAAAAAAAAUGAGUAUUAACCACUAAAAAAUCAUUAUAUAGUUAUAAAAAAAAUUCUGCAGUUCAAGUAUAAACACAGUAAUGCAUGUAAAACGAAUCGCAUUAGUUGGAUGGGGACAUAUAGAUCUCACACUUACUGUGUACCCGAUGAACACUCCAAGACACUUUUGUUCUUUUAACAUUCCAUAAUUUUAUUUGUAAACAUAUAAUAAGAACAUUCAACACAAAAUCAUUUUGAAGAAAAACUGUUAAUUAAAUAUUAUAUAUAUCCCUUUACACAAUAUUCAUAAAAAUUUAUUCAAUUAUAACUGGCUAUGAUUAAAUCAACAAUAAAAAUAAACCUACUAAUAUAAAUAAGUGAACACAUUCUAGCAACUAAUAGAAUAGGCUGAGACAACAGAAAGAAAGCAGAUUGAAUGAACUUCAACAUAUUAUCUUUCAUUUCUAUAAUAUUAUGCUAAGAAGAAAGAAAAAGCAUAUAAAACAAUAUCUUUCCUGCAACAAACAAGAGGGAAUUUGAUUAUAACCUUUUACUGUAGGCAAGAGGUUGACCUUUUCCAAGGAACUAUGUGGCACAGGAGUAAUGACAUAGAGCACACCUUAUACUGUGUCAAUGCCCCUCACAAUCCCUGAAACAUAAGAAAUCAAGAUGUGUUAAAAAAUGAAUUGCUUAGAAUUAUCAAAAUGCAUAACUACACCUGUUACACAAAAAAUGACAGAUAGCCAGUAAGUUCAUCACAUGUUUAAUCAUGGAAUACCCAAAUUGGCUGACAAAUACAGGGUUGAACACAGAUCCAAGGCAAAAAAUAUGUCAUCCAACUCUGUUUACAAAAAAUUUCACAGUAAUCAGAAAUGACCCCAAUCCCAACCACUCCAUUCCCUAAAAAGAGACACAGAGAAUAAUGCCUGGGACCCUAGACUUUUACAGCUUCCUAAGAAAAAGGAACAACCAUGUACAAGACAAAAUCAUAUGAAAAAUGUCAAUGUAUAAUAUUUUUUCUACUUUUGUAUGACAGAGAGAUCAGUUGUCAAGAGCGGUUCUACUUAGUCCAGAAGCAUGAAAUUCAAGCAAUCAUUUUGACAUAACUGACAAUUGGAGAAUACAACAUGCCAAAACUUUACCCACUCCAAUUAACAUGAAUACUGAAUAGAUGUUAAAUGCUGUCAAAAAUCAGCAGCCUUAUCAAAUGUUUUAAAGAUUCAAAGUAACAUAACAAAAAUUAAAAAAACAAAAUUUCAGUUCCCAAAUUAUUGAGAUGAGAAAGCACCAUACCUCUAUGGUGUUUUCAGGCAUGGAACUGUUAAAUCUAAAAUAAUUAAAAAAAAUGAAUAAUUUUUACAUAAAUUGUAAAUUGUGUAUUAUUAAGGAAUCUUGGCGACAUCAUGUGCAUAUAUACACAAUUUAUUAGAAAUUUGAUUGUGUUUAGGUUUUUAAAUUCACCGUGAUUGCCAGUGUUGAUGCGUUCAUCUGCAGUUUGUUGGGUCUGACUGUUGUGUUAGGGUUUUUGGAGUCAUUUCAACAUAUUACCUCAAACUUUGAAGAAAACAUAGGUAUUUUUUCUUAGUUCUUCUUUAUUUGUUGAGUUAUAUGAGGAAAGAAAUAUAGAAACGAGAGAGUUGUGUCGUUGGUUGUGUGAAAUUUUUUUUUUUAACUCAGAGGUAAAGAAGAUCUGCCAUUGGGUUUCGCAUCAAAAAAUUGUUUUUAAUACUGAUUGGAUCAAGGUACAUGCAAUUUAUAUAUCUUUUAAUUCAUUUAAUACAUUAUUAUUUGAGCUAUUUAUUUUUGGUAUUUUGUGCAUGACUUGACACAGUUUGUAAUUAUUUAUAGAGAACAGACAAAUUCUCACUGUGUAUGGUAAUCAAACAGUAAAUCACUCUUGCAUCCACAGAAUAACAUAUUACACUGUGGAUGUAAGAGUGACUUACUGCUUGAUCAACAUUAACAAUGACCAAUUUGUCUGUCCUCCUGUAAAUAAUUACAAUCUAUGUCAAGUCAUGCACAAAACAUCAAAAAUAAAUAGCUCAAAUAAUAAUGUAUUAAAUGAAUUAAAAGAUAUAUGAAUUGCAUGUAUCUUAAUCCAACAAGUAUCAACAACAACAUUCUAAUACAAAACCCAGAUCUUCUCUUCUUCUGAAUUAAAAAGGAAAAAAUUUCAUUCGACCACAAAACCUGUGCCGCUUCUAUAUUCUUUUCAUCAUAUUACUCAAAACAAAUAAAGAAAAAAAAAAAAAAUACUUGUGUUUUCUUCAAAGUUUAAGGUAUCGGAGCAUUUGCUACGAGUAUCAAACAAGCUAACAUAACCAUCUUCAGACACAACAAGAAUGUGUGCAAAUUUCGUAGUCUGCAAAACAAAAUAAAUAAGGAGCCCAGGUUAUAUUUGCAGUUUCAUCACAACGUUUGAUAUUGUAGAAAAUUGCAAACAAAUCCAGCCAAUGGAGCUGCAAGUGCAAUCACAGUGAUUUCUAAAACCUCAACAGCCCACUCAAUUCUAGUAAAUUGAGGACAAAUGAGGCCAGUGCAGCCAGGAUUACGGGUGGGCAAACUGCAUUGUUUGUACUGUACUAUAAACCAAUUACAAUUAACAAUAAAAUAGUUCAAAUAAGUUAGAUUGAACUAAAAAAUAGUUCAAAAAAACUGAACUGAACUAUUAUUUUAGUCUAGUUAACUGCAAUAUAGUUAAUUCACCUGGACAAAUUAGAGGCAAUUACAGACUUUUCUACUAAAGUGAGUUUCUUAAACUAAGACUGAAAUUCAUCAAGUUCAAGCUCAAGAAUAGCACACCCAAAUACUUCUAGAGAUACCCAGACUAGAAAAUCAUCAAGCCAUGAGGCAGCUGGCUUGGCAAUAUAACUUGUGUCUAGUACUAGGGUCGCUUUAGCAAUCUACAAGGUAAAGAGACGUCAUCCAUUAAAGGGAGUAUCCAAGUUAUCACAUGUAGGAAAAGAUCAACAAUUACUUUAGCACACAAGUAGAUUGAUAGGCAAUUGAUAAGAAAUUGUAAACCACAAUCCUUAAAACUGAUGGUUCGCAAUAGGUUUAACACUAUAAACAAUAACAUACUACUACUGCUAGCAUAGAUGGGAUCGACAAUACAAAAUUACACAUAGUUAGGAAUCCCAUCCAUUUUUAAGUGAAAUCAUGAACUAUGAUUAACCUUCGAAAUUGCAUAAAUGAGGCAGAGCAAAACACAAGUCAGAAAUAGUGAGUAUUCAUAUUAUAACUAAUAAAAUAUAAAAAGGGAAUAUCAACCACUGCAUGUAUUUUAUCUAAUAAUCAUUUGAAUUGGAGAUAACGGAAACAUGGGAGUGACAACACUCGUUCUCAUUAAUGGAAUAUCAACCACAGCAUAUGUUUUAAUCCAGACAUCAAUCCUGAUCAACAAGUUCUAUAAACACUUACGUAGCAUUCGGUGCACGAACAAAACAAAAAUGGAAUAUCCUAUUCUGUUCCGUGCACUUUUAAGCAGAACAAAAAUGAAAUAUUUUCUAACCUUAAGUUGUCCUAAAAUAUUUUUAAACGACCCAAAUAUGAAAUAAACUCAUAUUCUGUUAUGCACAUAUAUCAAAUGUUAUUAUGCUACCUUAUUUUGACUAAUAGAUUUACCAUUUACAACAUCUACAUUUGCUAAGACGGGUCAAACAUAAAAGAAAGAUUACUGGAAAAAGAGAGAACUAGCUAUGAGGGGAGGGAAAUCAGAAUUGGUCGAGAAGACCAACUUGUGUACCCUUGUAAAUUUUGAGUUCUCAGGACAAGGAAGAUGAAACGAGAAAGGGUAACCCCAUAGGCUCAGAGAUGGACAGAGUUUGACAUUUAUUAAAUGCCUCUUUUUUCUUGGGAAAAGGUAAAUUGAUAAUUAUGCUGACAAAACUUGAACAAAACAAUUGAUAUGGAUUCGUGCAACCAAAACUAUGAUUGUCCAACAGUGAUGUUAGACUCUAUUCAAAUUGCCUUUGAGUGGUAUUGAUAUAGAUUGAAUUCAACAGCAACAUGUUAGUUCAAAUACAGGAAACAACGAACAUAGUCACGCCUAAUAGGCAGUACUUAUAUGUGACAGUAAGAAAAACUACCAAAAUUCAACACACCAAGUACAUAUUCAGAAUUAUUUGACUAGAACUUGGCAUAAAUGUAAUUACUAUAAUCUACAACCAAAUAUAAACCAAUUCCCUUCAGAUAAUUCCUCGAAAGCAACACUGGUUAACAAUUAAAUGUAUUAACUAAAACAAACAUAUAAAUAAACCAGAGAUGAAAAACAAGUAUAUAACACUUCUAUGUUUAUAGGAGUUUCUGUUGCAUGCACACGACAACUUUUACAAAAGUAUUGUCACUGUCAUUACAAUGCUCUCACAACCCAAGCAGUAUUACCAUACACUUAUAAUUUUAAUUUUAAAGGCAGUCCAUUAUAAAAAUCAAGUAGAUCACUAGAAAUUAAGCUACAUAAAAGUCACCUGGAAAUUAAGAGAGUUGUUAGAUAUCAUUAAAAUUUCCCAUAUAUUGAUCUUGAGACUUCUUUUUUCUAUAAAAUAUUUCUGUAAAGCUUUUCAGUGCUAGGUAGGAAGAAUAAAUAUUUCUUUAAACUUUUGGAUUUAAACUGACUCCCAUGCGACUCAAACAAUUAAAUCAUAACAAGACAAUGUAGUAGUAGGUGAGGAUUAAUAUAUGGAUCAGACAAUGUUCUUUGGCUAGAUUAAGGACCUUGAAGGUUGUGAUUAGACUGGGCUUAUCAUGGUAACUCCACGUAAUAAUCCAUCCAAAUAGGGCAGUAAUCAUUCCUAAAUUAGAAAAACACACAACCAGUUGACCUUUCACAAAGAUAUUCAAAAUCAAAGCCUCCAGGCAUACAAAAAAGAAUUCCCCAGUUUCUUUGUCCACCUUCUUUGGAUUCAGGAUGAUCGAGUGUUCGCUUCUUAUCCUCUCCAAAAUUUGUGAGAGUAGACGAAGAAAAGAAGAAGGAAUGCAGCACAACCUCAAACCUUGACGACCCAGAAACCAAGGAAACACAAAAAUUAACAAAAAAGAGGAGAAGGGUGAAGAAAAAUAACCUGUAUCCCACCACUUAUGCAGAAAGAUAAAAACCUUACAUAAAUCUGAAAAUACAUGAACAACACAGGAAAAACAUUUGUACCUUAGGUUCCAUAGUUGCUUCUCUUUUCCAGGAGAACUGUUCUCAGAAUCUUCGACAAUGGUAAUAGAACCUUCGAGACAGUUCGACGACGGCAAAGUGUGGCAAAGCCUUUUCGAUAAUUCGGCAAAACCUUUGACAGCAGCGAGUCUUCAACCGCGACGAGCCUUCGACGGGGUGACGAGCCUUCCACGGUAAGAGCGAGAACCUUCCAGGGCAACAAGACUUCAAGGCCGCGAGUUUUCGAGAGAAGGAAAAAGGAGUGAAAAAUAAGAACUAUAUUUUCAGGUUCAGGGAUUAUUCAUGUGUUAGCAAAGAGAAUCAUUUCAGUAGCAUAUUAGCAAGGUAAUAGCUAUUAUAGUUUACUUAUAUUAUCAUUUUUCAUUAUUUGCUAAAAUACAAUUUUGUUUACUGUUAUUUAUAUUUAUACACAGUGAAUAUUCAUCUGUGGAUCUUUAGCAUUGAAAUUACAAUCAUGAUUGCUUGCAGGAUGAUUAUUUCUCUUGGAGUUUGAGAUUUUAGUGUUUUUUUUUCAUGGUCG
rnacentral:lncRNA from 1 species